rnacentral:lncRNA from 13 species
ACACAGAUUUCCUGACUGCUGAUUCCAGAAUCUACCACUACAUCUCACUGAGCCUGUGGUUGUAUUUUCUUCUGAACAUACCCGAUUGACUUCGCAUGCAAAUGGAAGUCAUUGAAGGACCCUAAGAAGAAAGUGACAACUAGAAAUUGAUAGUAAAUCAGAAGUUCACAGCUCGGAUUAUCCAAUUUUAAAAACAACAAAAUACUACUACACACCUAUUAGAAUGGCCAAAACCCAGAACACUGGCAACACCAAAUGGUGGCAAGGAUGUGGAGCUACAGGAACUCUCCUUCAUUGCUGGUGGAAAUGCAAAAUGGCACAGCCACCUUGGAAGACAGGGAAAGAGCUGCCUUGAACGUCUCCAAGGACCCAUGAGGAUCAAAAGAAUGUGCAAGCACCUGCUCAUCCUAUACUCAUGGACAUGCCCGAAUCCUGAAAUCAGCUGCCUGUUAAGGUCAAGAGAGAACCCCAACCAUACAGAUGAGUCGUCUUCAAAAGGUAUGAAAAUUAAGCUCCAUAUACUGGUAUAUUCUUUGAGUUAUUUUUCUUAGGUAAUACUGGAUCUGAUCCAGAAAGUGUAAGAAAAUUCAUC